AGGUUUCUUUUCAUGGUUGGCCAAAGCAUGUCCUGGAUUGGCUCCACCUCUCUUUUCAAAUAUCCAUAAGAAGGAAGAUGAGAGGUGGCUGUGGUUGACCAAAAAUAAAGAAAGCGUGUGAUUCAGCUUUGAGCAGUCUUCGGUUGUAAAAAACCAGCAGUAAACGAAGUUAUAUUAGAUUGGAAAGCCUUGCUGUUCAGCUGAUGGUGCAGUUUCAAGGGAUUCUUCGUUCCUACCAGGAACCCAGCACAGUCCACAAACACACCAGAGAUCAACAGUGAAAACCCUCAGAAGGUUUCUGCCAUACCUUACUCUGUCCCCUCCAUGGAGGGAGCAGGUUGUGCAGGCUUUCCCCCACGCCGGGCUACUGCCAGGGACCUGAGAGCAGAGCCCAGAUGUGCCAAGACAGUCGUUCCUCUUUGCCAGGAGAAAGAAGCCUAACCCAGCCCUUCCUCUACAAAGAACCACGACCUUCCAGACCAUGGAGGAACCGGUUCA